GAGAUUGAACCACGAACUGCUAAAUCAACCAACCGAACCUAAUGACCUCGGCACUCUC
rnacentral:tRNA from 1 species